rnacentral:rRNA from 1 species
GACGAACGCUGGCGGCGUGCUUAACACAUGCAAGUCGAACGGUGAAGCGCCUUCCUUUUUGGUGGGUGUGGAUGAGUGGCGAACGGGUGAGUAACACGUGAGUAACCUGCCCCCUUCUUCUGGAUAACCGCAUGAAAGUGUGGCUAAUACGGGAUAUUCUGGGUCUGUCGCAUGAUGGGUCUGGGAAAGAUAUUGUUUCGGUGGGGGAUGGGCUCGCGGCCUAUCAGCUUGUUGGUGGGGUGAUGGCCUACCAAGGCGGUGACGGGUAGCCGGCCCGAGAGGGUGGACGGUCACACUGGGACUGAGACACGGCCCAGACUCCUACGGGAGGCAGAAGUGGGGAAUAUUGCACAAUGGGCGCAAGCGUGAUGCAGCGACGCCGCGUGAGGGAUGGAGGCCUUCGGGUUGUGAACCUCUUUCGCCAGUGAAGCAGGCCUGCCUCGUUUGUGGGUGGGUUGACGGUAGCUGGAUAAGAAGCGCCGGCUAACUACGUG